CAGAAAAGAAGUAAUACUGCUCUCUUGGAGGAAUGCAGGCCAGAACUAACAAAAGAGGUGGCAUUGGCAGAGUUGCAGUUAUUGGCUUCGAACAGCUUAAAAGGGGCCACAGUCAACUACGAAAGGGUUUUGUGCCUCUUGAGAGCCACAUACCAAGACCGCUGCCAACACCAUGUAGACCCCUUGCCAAAUUAUUUUUUGGUGGAAGAAACUCUUUGUGCUGAGCUUCAACUGCGCUUUGGGUUCACUGUGGAUGAAGCGGAACAACUGCUAAAAAAGGCGGCACAGGUUUUCUCAGAGAAGGAAGGAAGGAAAACUUCAUUUUUGAGCUCUCGAAGCACUUGCAAGGUUCGUCAGAGCACUCACU